rnacentral:rRNA from 1 species
GACGAACGCUGGCGGCGUGCUUAACACAUGCAAGUCGAACGGAAAGGCCCUGCUUUUGUGGGGUGCUCGAGUGGCGAACGGGUGAGUAACACGUGAGUAACCUGCCCUUGACUUUGGGAUAACUUCAGGAAACUGGGGCUAAUACCGGAUAGGAGCUCCUGCUGCAUGGUGGGGGUUGGAAAGUUUCGGCGGUUGGGGAUGGACUCGCGGCUUAUCAGCUUGUUGGUGGGGUAGUGGCUUACCAAGGCUUUGACGGGUAGCCGGCCUGAGAGGGUGACCGGCCACAGUGGGACUGAGAUACGGCCCAGACUCCUACGGGAGGCAGCAGUGGGGAAUAUUGCACAAUGGGCGGAAGCCUGAUGCAGCAACGCCGCGUGCGGGAUGACGGCCUUCGGGUUGUAAACCGCUUUCGCCUGUGACGAAGCGUGAGUGACGGUAACGGGUAAAGAAGCACCGGCUAACUACGUG